CACGGAUCCAUCAGCUCCUGGUUUCUAUCACCUGAAGAGGUGCCUGGGAACAGUCUCAGCCCCUGUUUCUGCUGAUGGUGCCCCAGGAGAAGUUGGGGUCUGUCCAGAACACCCACUAUAGGUCCACCUUGUGUUCUUCAUGCUCCGAAGACCACCAUGGGGACAGCAAAAAAACCCAACUCUGUAACCCGUUACUCAUUAAAAGCACGAUUUGUGUUUGCUUCUGAGGCAACCAGAGACUGAAAAGCUGUUUUUGUUUAAAAAAUAGUAUCUCGUCAUUUGGGCCCAAUAAAUAACUAAAAGAACAAAGCUUGAUCUUCAUUUUUACCUGUUUCUUUUAUUACCUUCAAACUUUGGGUGAAAUCCUUGCUCAGCCCUGCAUUGGCAUGUUAAUUAUUUAGGGAAUAUCUGUCUAAAGGCUGGCAAUACAAGGUUGUACUAGUCCUAAAUUUACAAAACCUAGCUUAUCCUGUCUCAAGAUAAGGGAUUUACAAGGUCAUUUAACUACAAAUGAGUACCCAGAAAUCUCCAGCAUUGCCCUAAACUACGGUCACCUUGGAUUCAGGCGGAGCCUCCACAAAACAGACUGCCACAAACAGAGAAAAUCAUCUCACAGAGGCUGGAUUAAAGGAUAAGGUCUUCUACGAGCCACCUUGCAAAAACAGGUUCUUGCUAAAGUGCUACAUUGGCCGGGCUAGGCUUGAACGUUUGAUCCUCCUAACUCAGUCUCCCAGAGUGCUGGGGUUACAGGCAUGCACCAGCAUGCCCACCUUGGAAAUUCUUCUGUGAUGAUGAGUCAAGAACCUACUCCACAGGUGCCCGUCUGCCAUGUCACCCUACCUGGGAGCCAGCCGAUUAUGUACUGAAACCUCUACAAACUG